CCCUUAGAUGUUCUGGGCUGCACGCGCGCUACACUGAUGCGUUCAACAAGUUGGACCUUGUCCGAGAGGAAAUCGGGGGAAUCUUUUGAAAACGUAUCGUGAUGGGGAUAGAUUAUUGUAAUUAUUAAUCUUCAACGAGGAAUUCCUAGUAAGCAUGAAUCAUCAGCUCGUGCUGAUUACGUCCCUGCCCUUUGUACACACCGCCCGUCGCUACUACCGAUUGAAUGGUUUAGUGAGGCCUUCGGAUCCGCGACUCGUUUGUGGAGAAGUUGGACAAACUCAGUCAUUUAGAGGAAGUAAAAGUCGUAACA
rnacentral:rRNA from 1 species